rnacentral:rRNA from 1 species
CGUAACACGUGUGCAACCUGCCUUUAUCAGGGGGAUAGCCUUUCGAAAGGGAGAUUAAUACCCCAUAAUAUAAUGACUGGCAUCAGUUAUUAUUGAAAACUUCGGUGGAUAGAGAUGGGCACGCGCAAGAUUAGAUAGUUGGUGAGGUAACGGCUCACCAAGUCGAUGAUCUUUAGGGGGCCUGAGAGGGUGAUCCCCUACACUGGUACUGAGACACGGACCAG